UUGAUAUGAUAUUGAAUGUUUUUAAAAGAAAUAAAGACUGCGUUUUCGUGAAUAUUGCAGGAUAACCUGCAAUGUUAAUGUAGACAAAGAUUUAAAUUACACUUGAAGGACUCCCAUGCCAAUUUCAAUAGUCCUCGCCCACUGAUGUCAAACACAAAGAACAUGAAGUUAUAGUAGCUGACAUAUAGUGUACAUGUACCACUUGAAGAUUUUUCCCCCUUGUAAAUACAAGAAAUGCAAAGUAUAUGCAGAUACAUACACAUAAAAGGAGACAUUAUCUCAUGAUCUGUGGAUCCAAAACUUUAAGGACAAAACUUUUGAUAAUUCAUUCAUGUAAAGAGUGUUGACUCUAAUAUUGAAUAUCUAAUGAAUGGAACCAAGAGAAUUAAUUUAAUAAAUAUUUUAUUGUA